CACGUAGGGGGCGAGCGUUGUCCGGAUUUAUUGGGCGUAAAGAGCUCGUAGGCGGUUCGAUAAGUCGGGUGUGAAACUCUGGGCUCAACUCAGAGACGCCACCCGAUACUGUUGUGACUUGAGUCCGGUAGGGGAGUAUGGAAUUCCCGGUGUAGCGGUGAAAUGCGCAGAUAUCGGGAGGAACACCAGUGGCGAAGGCGGUACUCUGGGCCGGGAACUGACGCUGAGGAGCGAAAGCGUGGGUAGCGAACAGG
rnacentral:rRNA from 1 species